GUUUUGGUUAAUGGGUUCUGUAAGAAUGGGAUGGUUCUUGAGGCUUUGAAGGUUUUGAGGGCCAUGCUGAGUACGAAUAUCGUGCCGGGAUGUGGUCUGAAGAAGUGGGUUUAUAAGGUUUUGUUGAGGGAGGCUAGGAUUAAGGAGGCAGUGGAGUUGAAUGAGGCUUUGGGUUGUGUAGGGGAUAGAGAGAAAGGUGAUGAAUCAGAGUGUGUGAAGAAGGUUUUGGCUUUGUUGGAUCACAUGAUUGGCAAUUGGGCAGAAUAGAGCAGUGAUGCAGGAGCAUAUGGGUGGAUCAAGAUAGAUAUUUACCAUUUAAUUAGUUAUUUCAUGAUAUAUUGGUAUUUUCUUAUUUAGGUAGUUUUAGGAUAACUUUUAUUAUUUAGGUGUGAUUUUAUAAUUAAUUAGUUUACUUUUGGACCAAGUAGCCUUGGUGCCCAAGUCUUGUAAAGCCUAUAAAUAAGGCUAAUGUAAUAGUUGUAGGGGAGUUUAUGUUGAUGAUUAAUGAAAUAGUUUAUUUGUGGCAUGGAUUUGCUACGUAAUAUGUGAGUUUGCACUAGCCCUAGAUUUCGGUGCUCGUGUGUGUGGUUGGUGACCUAUGUCCGGACUCCGAUCCCCAUCAUCUAGUAGACUUGAUACCAUUUUGCUUGAUGUUUAUUUUUUUAGGUCAAACAUCUUGCUUGAUUUCAAUUUUCAAGUAAAGACCACUGUUAUUACUGUUAAAGAGAGUAGCUUUCUACAGAGAACAGGUGUUUUCUUUAAAUUGGUAACAUGAUUCAUGCAUUCUUAAACUCUAGGUCUGUAUCAUCACUGGCCUUCUUCUAUGUAGUAAGCAUUAUAUUUAGGUCAUACUAAAUUAAAAAAUAUGGCCAAUCUCUUUUAGCGGGUAUGCAAUUGUGAGUUGUAUUUUAAAUUGUUUAUUAAGUUGUAAGUCAGCAAGUCUCAUGCACUACUUGAGCCUGUUUAAUUGUGUUUGUUUGAUCUUUUCAUUGAUGCUAGUAUUUCUGUAACUGGCUCUUGGAAAGGUGUAAGGUGCCGCACUUUUGUGAAGAUUGCUGUUUACUACUGCAUGAUGUUUGGGGAUCUGCUGUUGCUAUUACAUGUUCCAUAGCUAAGGGCUUCAGAGCUGUAAACUGCAUUCUGCACAGGGUCUGGCCGUUAUAGUCCUGCAUUCUGCAUAGGGUCUGGCUGUUAUAAUCGUGCAUUCUGUACAGUGUCUGUCCUUUCGUAUGCCAUUUUCAUCUUCUGUUUUAGAGGCAGUUGAGCAGAAAAGAUUGCCUUAGUGCGUUUUUGAAAUGGUGAUUGUUGCUGAGUACCAGCAGGGUAGAAGCAUGGCACUGAGACGUGAAGAAAUCACAGAUAGCAUCAUGCCUAUGGCACAUUGGGUUUUGUUGUGCUCCCAUUCUUUGACGGAGGCCUCUGUUUGAGUGGACCUGUGGCUGAGUCUUUCUACAAUCAAUUGUAACCGAAAAAGAAGAAAAGCCUCAGAGAACUUCCUAGGUCCUAGGAU